CGGCAAGGCUGACCAAUCGGGCGACGGGAUCACAGUCGCGUGUGCGCACGCGUGACGUAUUUGUGCGCACUUUGUGGGCGUCUCGUACAACGCUCACGUUGUAACUACAGUUGCAUUUGCAUACUCUUGCAAACGUGCACACAUUUGAAAUGAUCUUUUUGAAGGCGGUGCAGUGUAAAGUAAUAUAGGAGAUUAUGUCUAUGCAAGCGUGGGUCACACCCAAAAAGUAUAAUCGGUGAAUUAAUCACUUUACGUGUCACUAACAAGGUCUGCAUGAUUGCAUUUAAUUGUUACAGUAAUGAACUGGUUGAUUACAUCAAACACAUUUUAAAGGAGGCUGCAAGAGGACUCUCCAAAACUGGCACACUAGGGGGAGCCAUUCUGUUUGAAAUUCAAAUAGCUUUGCCUCACAGCCCAGCAGCACCAGUUGCAAAGGAGCGAGUGAAAUUCCCACAGAUAGGUUUCUGUGAUGCAUUAUUUAAUUUCACUAUGCUCACUGGUUAAUAAACAGGCACUGCAACCAGGCUGGAUUGCAAAAGUAGGAUUUAUGCGUGCCGUCUUAAGAAAGUGCGGGCUGUUUAUCUGAAGUUUUAGGAAGUGAAGGAGAUGUGAGUGGAUAAUCACCUGCCACAAGAAAGAGGCAACACAGAGAAGCCCAGCGUGUCGGCCGCUCGGCAUGCCGUGCACGUCGCAUGGGUGGGCACGGGCCCCGACCAACUUGAUGCCAAAGGAAUACUGAUGAUGGCACCGAGGUAGCGGAGUGAGAUGGCGGCGUGAGGCGAUUUGGCCGACAGCCCACGAUAGAUGGAAAAAAAGGGUGACGGAGGGCCUUGUCAGCAAAACGCCCUUUCUCCUGAUUGGCGACAUGGAUUUUAAUUGAUGAAAGCAAGCCGAGGGAGUCGAGCGGCGGGGGAGCGAGGGAGAAAGAAAGGUCGGUCAAAAAGUCCCGACUCGCUCUACCUUUUCAUGUCUGACUUCAAACCUCAUCACACUCUUGUUUUUUUUUUAAUAGAGACGCUAUUUGCCCGCGCGGCUUUCCAAAUUGUACGCUCGUCAAUUUCUCGUCGGAAAAUCUGCAUCGAGUGCUUUUUUUCGGGCUUAUCUGGAGCUUGUGAAAAAUCCAUUAAGCCACCUUUGAGGUGCGCCCCCC